AUGGCUCACCAAGGCGACGAUCGGUAGCCGGACUGAGAGGUUGAACGGCCACAUUGGGACUGAGACACGGCCCAGACUCCUACGGGAGGCAGCAGUGGGGAAUAUUGCACAAUGGGGGAAACCCUGAUGCAGCGACGCCGCGUGGAGGAAGAAGGUCUUCGGAUUGUAAACUCCUGUUGUUGGGGAAGAUAAUGACGGUACCCAACAAGGAAGUGACGGCUAACUACGUGCCAGCAGCCGCGGUAAAACGUAGGUCACAAGCGUUGUCCGGAAUUACUGGGUGUAAAGGGAGCGCAGGCGGGAAGACAAGUUGGAAGUGAAAUCUAUGGGCUCAACCCAUAAACUGCUUUCAAAACUGUUUUUCUUGAGUAGUGCAGAGGUAGGCGGAAUUCCCGGUGUAGCGGUGGAAUGCGUAGAUAUCGGGAGGAACACCAGUGGCGAAGGCGGCCUACUGGGCACCAACUGACGCUGAGGCUCGAAAGUGUGGGUAGCAAACAGGAUUAGAUACCCUGGUAGUCCACACCGUAAACGAUGAUUACUAGGUGUUGGAGGAUUGACCCCUUCAGUGCCGCAGUUAACACAAUAAGUAAUCCACCUGGGGAGUACGACCGCAAGGUUGAAACUCAAAGGAAUUGACGGGGGCCCGCACAAGCAGUGGAGUAUGUGGUUUAAUUCGACGCAACGCGAAGAACCUUACCAAGUCUUGACAUCCCUUGACAGACAUAGAAAUAUGUAUUCUCUUCGGAGCAAGGAGACAGGUGGUGCAUGGUUGUCGUCAGCUCGUGUCGUGAGAUGUUGGGUUAAGUCCCGCAACGAGCGCAACCCUUAUGGUCAGUUACUACGCAAGAGGACUCUGGCCAGACUGCCGUUGACAAAACGGAGGAAGGUGGGGAUGACGUCAAAUCAUCAUGCCCUUUAUGACUUGGGCUACACACGUACUACAAUGGCGUUAAACAAAGAGAAGCAAGACCGCGAGGUAGAGCAAAACUCAGAAACAACGUCCCAGUUCGGACUGCAGGCUGCAACUCACCUGCACGAAGUCGGAAUUGCUAGUAAUCGUGGAUCAGCAUGCCACGGUGAAUACGUUCCCGGGCCUUGUACACACCGCCCGUCACACCAUGAGAGCCGGGGGGACCCGAAGUCGGUAGUCUAACCGCAAGGAGGACGCCGCCGAAGGUAAAACUGGUGAUUGGGGUGAAGUCGUAACAAGGUAGCCGUACUAGUACGAAGGCAC
rnacentral:rRNA from 1 species